AUUGAACGCUGGCGGCAGGCCUAACACAUGCAAGUCGAACGAGUGGCGGACGGGUGAGUAAUGUCUGGGAAACUGCCCGAUGGAGGGGGAUAACUACUGGAAACGGUAGCUAAUACCGCAUACCAUCGGAUGUGCCCAGAUGGGAUUAGCUAGUAGGUGGGGUAACGGCUCACCUAGGCGACGAUCCCUAGCUGGUCUGAGAGGAUGACCAGCCCCACGAUAACUAAGGCACGGUCCAGACUCCUACGGAAGGCAGCGGUGGAGGAUAUUGGACAAUGUGCACAAGCCUGAUGCAGCCAUGCCGCGUGGAUGGAGAAGACCUUCGGGUUGUAAAGUACUUUCAGCGAGGAGGCGUUACUCGCAGAAGAAGCACCGGCUAACUCCGUGCCAGCAGCCGCGGUAAUAC
rnacentral:rRNA from 1 species